UUGAAACUGUAGAUCUGGAAUACGGAUGCUGUGGGAGGAAUGUGUAGUGUAGCGGUGAAAUGCAUAGAUAUUACACAGAACACCGAUUGCGAAGGCAUCUCACAAAUCCGUCAUUGACGCUGAGGCACGAAAGUGUGGGGAUCAAACAGGAUUAGAUACUCUGGUAGUCCACACUGUAAACGAUGAUAACUCGCUGUUGGCGAUAUAGUGUCAGUAGCUAAGCGAAAGCGAUAAGUUAUCCACCUGGGGAGUACGACCGCAAGGUUGAAACUCAAAGGAAUUGACGGGGGCCCGCACAAACGGAGGAACAUGUGGUUUAAUUCGAUGGUACGCGAGGAACCUUACCCGGGCUCGAACGGUGCAUGAAUAUGCAAGAGAUUGCAUAGUCCUUCGGGACAUGUAUCGAGGUGCUGCAUGGUUGUCGUCAGCUCGUGCCGUGAGGUGUCGGCUUAAGUGCCAUAACGAGCGCAAC
rnacentral:rRNA from 1 species